AGGCAGCAGUGGGGAAUAUUGCACAAUGGGGGAAACCCUGAUGCAGCGACGCCGCGUGAAGGAAGAAGUAUCUCGGUAUGUAAACUUCUAUCAGCAGGGAAGUAUAGUGACGGUACCUGACUAAGAAGCCCCGGCUAACUACGUGCC
rnacentral:rRNA from 1 species